GGAGAUGAGGGUGAUCUGGCUUGAACAUCUGUCAUCAGAUUGAUUGCUGGGUUGAUCCUGCAUGGUGGGCUGAGCUCUAUGACCUUCCCCUUUCACUGCUCCUUGAGCAUCCUUCCUAAGUUUGCAUGCUGGGUCUAAGGUCCCAAUGAGUGGAAGACCUUUUUCUUAUCGAGGGUAUUCAAGUUCUUGGGAAUAGAACACUCUCUGAAAUCUGUUUGUAAGAACCAGUGUUAUGGUUCUUUG
rnacentral:sRNA from 1 species